GGUAUAGUGAGAAAAAUUUGAUUUGUUAUCUUUAAGGCCACCUUAGACUAGACAGAGAGGGGCCUGUGUAUUUGCCUCAUUACACAUAUUCAGAACUCACAUACUAAGUAGUUCAAAUUGAGAGAGUUGUAAUUAUCCUGAAUCUGGAUUGUUUAUGGAAGUGUAGGUUAUUGAUAGUAUGGUUUGUUAAACAUAUCUUUGUUUAGACAUAUUAGGUUGCAGAAAGACUAAAUAAUUGAUUUAGGCGGAAGGAUAUUAAGAGAGUGAUUAGGCAGUUUGGGAAGAACUUUCUUGUGUCUACAGAAAGUUUAGUGCAUUGUUCAACCAACUCAGUGAGGAGAGCUGAUUGGCAAUCAGAGUUUCGCAGUAGAGUAUUCAGAAUAUUUCAUGUUUCUGUCGAGGUAUGUUAAUUGAUUUUUGUUAUAGUGUAGAAUAAGGACUAUAGUCAUGUUAUUAUUGAUAUUGAGUAGAAAGAAUGAAGGAAAAUGAAGUAUUAAUAGUGAAGGGAUCGCAUCACUGGUUAGAGGUCAUGAGCACAUACAGUGUAUGGCCUAGUACAUGAUACACAAUGUACACACGUGUAGUUCGUUGUGCAUGAAUGACCAUGCGUCAUCUCGUUGUAGUGGCUUUGUAAACGAUGUAAGGCAGAGAAUUUUAUGUUUAUUAUAAUGUUGAUGAGUGUAAAUACACAUUUAAUGUACUUGUAUAGCUAAGUGUUAUUUAGUUAUGGUAUUGAGUACUGUAGCUUGAAUAUAGUGCACUGAGGGAAGUUUGGAGGGAUUUGAUUAGAUAGAAAUGUUUGGGUAAAAGUCGAGUUAAGACUGUGUUGUGCUGUGUAAGUAAUAUUCUCAAAUAAGAUGGCAGCCUCCAUGGGAAGGGUUUAUGGUGCAGUUAGUUAAAAAUAGGAGUCUACUUAUUUCAGUAGAUUGGUGUUGGUGCUUGAUAUAAAUUAUAUCAUACUAUUAUUAGAGAGUAGAGUUUAUUAGGAGUUGGUGUAUUAUUCAUUUAAUUGAUAGGAGUUCCUUUCGUGGAUGGGGCUAGAGGUUCAACAGUUGUCGAGGUGUCGCUGAUUGACCACGUUUCUGAUUGAGAAAUAGUUCUGGUGCUUGUUGGAGGUAUGACAAAUUGAAGCAUUUGUUUACAUUUCUGUAUCUCUUAAUCUAGAUUCUUUAAUACUCAAUGUCUGAAGUUGAAGUAAUAUUGUCAUUUUACUUAACGUUUGACUCUUUUAUUUCAUUGGUUUGAGUCUUUGAUUUAAUUGGUUCAGUUAUUUGAUAAUGAACAGUGACAAUUUUAGUAGAGUAUAGAUACCACAUUAUUCAUCUGUGUAUUGAUAUACUUGAUGCAUUUUUACGUUCAUAAAUAGGAUUUAAAUUGUUAUGAUUACAUUAUCGCAUUAUAAUGUUUUGAUGAUAACAAUUUGAUGAUAUAUAGUUGACUGGUUAUUCAUGGCAAGUAGUGAUAUUGUCUUUGUUCUAGAUUCCAGCGUUUGAGUUGAAGAAGCUGGUUCCAUUGUUGUCGUCGUAGCAACAAGUAGUUGUUUAGCAGUCCUAGUUGGAGGUUUUUCUUCUUGUAUCACACUUUAUGCAGAUAGCUCAAGUGGGAAAUAAAAUCCCGCUCAUAUCCUACAACCUCGAGUCGUGUCAUUGUGUUCUGGUAUUGCAUUCUUCCUGACAACCGCCCCCCCCCCUUUCUCUCGACUUACCAAAAUACUACAGUGGUGUCAGAAGUGGGAUUGAACUUGAGCUACAGCGACGAGCAUCGGAGGGAAGAUUCGCUGAAGGAAGAUACGACUUGGAAAACCUCCAGACUACAGGCGAUGUGGGAGUAAACCAUUAAAUAGGUUUAUCAGGGAUGAGUUCCUUUCGUGGAUGGGGCUAGAGGUUCAACAGUUGUCGAGGUGUCGCUGAUUGACCACGUUUCUGAUUGAGAAAUAGUUCUGGUGCUUGUUGGAGGUAUGACAAAUUGAAGCAUUUGUUUACAUUUCUGUAUCUCUUAAUCUAGAUUCUUUAAUACUCAAUGUCUGAAGUUGAAGUAAUAUUGUCAUUUUACUUAACGUUUGACUCUUUUAUUUCAUUGGUUUGAGUCUUUGAUUUAAUUGGUUCAGUUAUUUGAUAAUGAACAGUGACAAUUUUAGUAGAGUAUAGAUACCACAUUAUUCAUCUGUGUAUUGAUAUACUUGAUGCAUUUUUACGUUCAUAAAUAGGAUUUAAAUUGUUAUGAUUACAUUAUCGCAUUAUAAUGUUUUGAUGAUAACAAUUUGAUGAUAUAUAGUUGACUGGUUAUUCAUGGCAAGUAGUGAUAUUGUCUUUGUUCUAGAUUCCAGCGUUUGAGUUGAAGAAGCUGGUUCCAUUGUUGUCGUCGUAGCAACAAGUAGUUGUUUAGCAGUCCUAGUUGGGUGAGUCAGGAUGGUAGAGCGUGAUAGAUAGUUUUGAACACGAACACUGCUUGUUAUAUUACUUCUGUUUCAGGUGUUGAUAACAAUGUGUUAUAACGAAUUGUAGGUAGGCAGUCAAUGUACAUUAAUUAGACAUUAAUUAGAAUGAAUAUCCAUGACUAUGCAUAUUUCAGGGGAUUAUUCUGAUGUUAAUCUUUAAUAGAGUUGAUGCUUUCAUAUUUUAGUGACCUAUAUUCAUACUUUCAGUGAAGAGAUUAGUUCGUCAUAUUUCACACCAAAUAGAGGGAAUAUUUUGGAAUGAUAAGAAAUACAUUUUCUUCUUUUACAUUGAAUUACUCGCUCGAUGAAUAUUGAAGUAUCAUUGACUUGGUUUUAAAGUGAUGUACAUUAUUGUUGACUCUAAAUUGUUGCAUGAAGAGAUUUUGAA
rnacentral:lncRNA from 1 species